CGCGUAGGCGGCCAAUUAAGUCAAAUGUGAAAUCCCCGAGCUUAACUUGGGAAUUGCAUUCGAUACUGGUUGGCUAGAGUGUGGGAGAGGAUGGUAGAAUUCCAGGUGUAGCGGUGAAAUGCGUAGAGAUCUGGAGGAAUACCGAUGGCGAAGGCAGCCAUCUGGCCUAACACUGACGCUGAGGCACGAAGGCCAGGGGAGCGAAAGGGAUUAGAUACCCUAGUA
rnacentral:rRNA from 1 species